UAACCAUGUAAAUAGGGCGUCGGACUUCUAAUCCGAAUGUCGCAGGUUCGAAUCCUGC
rnacentral:tRNA from 1 species